rnacentral:rRNA from 1 species
UACGGAGGGGGGCUAGCGUUGUUCGGAAUUACUGGGCGUAAAGCGCGCGUAGGCGGACCCUGCAAGUCGGGGGUGAAAGCCCGAGGCUCAACCUCGGAACUCGCCUUCGAUACUGCGGGUCUCGAGUCCGGGAGAGGUGAGUGGAAUUCCUAGUGUAGAGGUGAAAUUCGUAGAUAUUUAGGAAGAACACCAGUGGCGAA